UUUUUAAAUCAAUAUUGGAAACCAUUCCGGUGCUGCUACUUUCUUACAUAAUUUCUUUACUUCUUGCAAUAUGCAUCGAGAUGCCAUUCAGAAGUUUAACAAAAUGGUUAUUCCUUAAAAACAACACACCUAACAUAAAUGGAAGGAUACUCGGGAACAAAGUAAUAAAAAUGGAAUAAUUAUGUUAUGUCUAGAUUUUG